CGGGAUAGCUCAGUUGGUAGAGCAGAGGACUGAAAAUCCUCGUGACCC
rnacentral:tRNA from 1 species